GUUGGAGUUGGACACACACAACUUCAUCAUCAACAGCAAGGACACCACCCCCUCCCUUCUCCGGGGAAGCUUUCCUUUCCUCCACGAUCCGAUGUUGACGCUGCAGUCACAAGACGCGGCCUUCAUCCAUGAUCCUCCUUCCCGCGCGGUCUAUGGACAUGCUUGCCGCGGCGUCAAUGGAGCUCUUCAAGAGGUGCUUCAAAAACUCUAGUUCGAAGAGACCUCGUGGAGUUGGGGAAAAGUUACCCCCUGCUGUCACCCAUUUAUUUCAGGUCUUCACGCGAUUCCCGACUACGAAGGCGUCGGUGGCGCCUUUGUCAAUCUCAAGAUGAUGUUUUUUUUUGGAAAAGGGUCUCAAGAUGAUGUGACGGGCCAGUCUUUCAGAGAUGCUCAGAGAUAAGAUGUGCGUGCGCAUAUUGAUAGCGUUGAGUGUAUGUGCGUGCAUCUGUGUUUGUACUGUGUUUAGAAAAAGCAAAGUAGAGAUUCAUGUUGAGAAAUGACGAAAUAUACUCUUUCUCCGUU